CGGACGUUAAAUGCGUGGAAUGUGGUGUAGUUCGACAGUGAAAUUUUGUGAUUUUUUACCGUUUUGCUUCCUGAUCUUUCAGCUUGGGAAACUACACCAAGGAAAAUUAUUAAUGGGUUUCCCUAAAGGAAGGGUACUUGCUGAAACAAACGUGGUCGUUUCAGCGAUGGAGAAGGCGGUAUUUCAAGCUAAAGGGACGCAAGCUUUACUAUGCCAAAGAUACAAAGG